UCUAUCGAGAUAUGUGUGAUUUCGUGUGCUACACUAGAUUAGCCGCGUAGUAGUGACACGCAUAUAUGAGUAUGAGUAUGUGGGAGUAUGUGCGUGCACAGCGUCUCGUAGAACAGAAGAAUGCAACUUCUCGAAGUAAUUACUUCAAGCAAG